rnacentral:rRNA from 1 species
GACGAACGCUGGCGGCGUGCUUAACACAUGCAAGUCGAACGAAGUGGCGAACGGGUGAGUAACGCGUAAUCAAACUGCCCUUCAGAGGGGGACAACAGUUGGCAACGACUGCUAAUACCGCAUACUUGAGGAGGGGAUUGCGUCUGAUUAGCUAGUUGGAGGGGCAACGGCCAACCAAGGCGCUGAGCAGGAGCCGGUCUGAGAGGAUGAACGGCCACAUUGGGACUGAGACACGGCCCAGACGCCUACGGGAGGCAGCAGGGGGGAAACUUCCGAAAUGGACGAAAGUCUGACGGAGCAACGCCGCGUGAGUGAUGACGGCCUUCGGGUUGUCAAGCUCUGUUAAUCGGGACGCGGUACCGGAAUAGAAAGCCACGGCUAACUACGUGCCAGCAGCCGCGGUAAUAC